GACGAACCGUGCGAACGUUAUUCGGAAUCACUGGGCUUAAAGCGCGUGUAGGCGGGAGGGCACGUCCGUCGCUGAAAUCCCCCGGCUCAACCGGGGAACGGGCGCGGAUACGACUUCCUGGAGGGGCGUAGGGGGACCUGGAACUUCCGGUGGAGCGGUGAAAUGCGUUGAGAUCGGAAGGAACGCCCGUGGCGAAAGCGAGGUCCUGGACGCCUACUGACGCUGAGACGCGAAAGCCAGGGGAGCGAACGGG
rnacentral:rRNA from 1 species